AUUGAACGCUGGCGGCAUGCUUUACACAUGCCAGUCGAACGGUAACAGGCCUUCGGGUGCUGACGAGUGGCGAACGGGUGAGUAAUGCAUCGGAACGUACCCAGAGGUGGGGGAUAACGCAGCGAAAGCUGUGCUAAUACCGCAUGUGAUCUGAGGAUGAAAGCGGGGGACCGAGCAGCAAUGUUUGGCCUCGCGCCUUUGGAGCGGCCGAUGUCGGAUUAGCUAGUUGGUGGGGUAAAGGCCUACCAAGGCGACGAUCCGUAGCUGGUCUGAGAGGACGACCAGCCACACUGGGAAUGAGACACGGCCCAGACUCCUACGGGAGGCAGCAGUGGGGAAUGUUGGACAAUGGGCGCAAGCCUGAUCCAGCAAUGCCGCGUGCGGGAAGAAGGCCUUCGGGUUGUAAACCGCUUUUGGCAGGAACGAAACGGUGUCCGCUAAUACCGGGCGCUAAUGACGGUACCUGCAGAAUAAGCACCGGCUAACUACGUG
rnacentral:rRNA from 1 species